AUUGAACGCUGGCGGCAGGCCUAACACAUGCAAGUCGAACGAGUGGCGGACGGGUGAGUAAUGUCUGGGAAACUGCCCGAUGGAGGGGGAUCACUACUGGAAACGGUCGCUAAUACCGCAUACCAUCGGAUGUGCCCAGAUGGGAUUAGCUAGUAGGUGGGGUAAAGGUUCACCUAGGCGACGAUCCCUAUCUGGUCUGAGAGGAUGACCAGCCACACUGGAACUGUGACACGGUCCAGACUCCUACGGGAGGCAGCAGUGGGGAAUAUUGCCCUAUGGGCGCAAUCCUGAUGCAGCCAUGCCGCGUGUAUGAAGAAGGCCUUCGGGUUGUAAAGUACUUUCAGCGGGGAGGCGUUACCCGCAGAAUAAGCACCGGCUAACUCCGUGCCAGCAGCCGCGGUAAUUC
rnacentral:rRNA from 1 species